rnacentral:lncRNA from 1 species
UUCUGCUCUGAUCUUUAUAAUUUCCUCUCUUGUACAAGCUUUGGGUUUGUUAUACUGUUCUUUUUCUAGGAGCUUAAGAUUCAGCAUUAGGUUGUUUAUUUGAGCUCACUCUGUUUUCCUAGUGUGGACAUUCACUGCUAUGAAUUUCGUGCAUAGAACUGCUUUCAUUGUGUCCCAGAGAUUCCUGUAUGUUGUACUGGCAUUAUCAUUUACUUGUAGAAAUUGUCUAAUUUCUUCUUUAAUUUCCUCUGUGACUCAUUGGUUGUUCAGGAGGGUGUUAUUUAAUUUCCAUGUGUUUGUGGGAGUUUUGCAGUUUCUUAUGUCAUUGAUCUCCAAUUUUAUUGCACUGUUCUGAUAAUAUACAGGGGGUAACUUCAAUUCUUUUACAUUUACUUAGACAUGUUCUAUGAGCUAGCAUGUGGUCUAUUUUGGAGAAUGACCCAUGUGCAGCUGAAAAGAAUGGUAUUCUGAUUUUGCGGGGUGGAACACUCUAUAAACAUCUAUUAAGUCUAUUUGUUCUAUAGCUUGGUUCAGUUCUAGAAUUUCAUUUUUAAUUUUUUGUCUAGAUGAUCUGUCUAAUUAUGAUAAUGGUACCCCAUUGAGACCCCCCACUACAAUUGUAUUAGAGCUUAUUUGGUUUUUCAUGUCCAUUACUAUUUGUUUUGUAUAGUUGGGGGCAUUCAUAUUUGGUGCAUAUAUAUUUAUGAUUGUCAUCUCUUCCUCUUGGAUUGUUCCCUUCACAAGGAUGUAGUGACCAUCUUUGUCUCUCUUAAUUAGUUUUGGUUUGAAAUCUACUUUUCUGCAAAUAAAAUUACUACCCCUGCUUUUUUCUGGGUUCUGUGGCAUGGAGAACUGUUUUCCAUCCUUUUACUUUCAGUCUAUGUAUUUCUUUUUGAGUUAGGUGUGUUUCUUGUACACAGCAUAUUGUUGGAUUUUGCUUCUUAAUCCAUUCUGUCAGUCUAUUUCUUUUGAUUGGUGAAUUGAGACUAUUAACAUUGAUAGUCAUAGUUGAUAGAUAUUUAUUCAUCCUUGUCAUGAUGUUUUACUAUUGUUGGCUCUUUUAUUUCUUGGUGGGGUUUUUUUUCCCCUUUCCCUUUAGUUUCUUACCUUUCCUGGUGGCUUCCCUCUGUUGGGCCUCAUGGAGUUGUGACCUUCAUUGUCUUUUUCUAGGAUAUUGCUUAGGAUUGUUUGGCGUGCUGGUUUGUUGUUCAUGAAAUUUCUCAGGUGUUCUUUGUCAUGGAAGUAUCUAAUUUCCCCAUCAAUUUUGAAAGAUAAUUUUGCAGGAUACAAUAGUCUAGGUUGGAAGUUAUUUUCUUUUAGGGCUUGAAAUACUUCACUCCGGGCUCUCCUUGACUUGAGUGUUUGUGUUGAGAAGUCUGCUGUGAUUCUGCUGGGCUUUCCUUUGUAGGUGAUUUGUUUCUUUUCCCUAACUGCCUGUAGGAUUUUGUUCUUCUGUUGGGUUUCUGGGAUCUUGAUUAUUAUGUGUCUGAGCAUAGAUUUUUUUGAUCAUGGCUAGUUGGAGUUCUAUAUGCCUCACUGUCUGUAUGUCCAAUUCUCCACCUCUGUCUGGGAAGUUUUCUACUAUUACUUCUGUGAACAGUUUUUUUUAUGUCAAUUGUAUUUUCUCCUAUUUUUUCAUGGACUCCUAUCAGUCUUAUGUUAUUCUUCCUUGCCUCAUCUAGCAGCUGCUGGAUUGAUUUCUCAUAGUCCCUACAAUUUUUAAGAAAUCUCUGUUUUCAUGGUCCUUCACUGCAAUCCUGUCUUCUACAUCUGAUAUUCUAUCUUCAGAUUCCCUUAAUCUGCUAGGCAUGCUUUCAAUGGAGUUUUCAAUCUCCUGAAUGUCUGUUUGAAUCUGUUUCAUGGAUUCCAUUUCUUUCUUAUUUGGGGCAAUCAUGGUUUCUGUUUCUUUCUUAUGUUGGGCAUUCAUGGCUUCCAGCAUGAUUCUGUUCUAGAGCCUCUAAUUAUGUCUUUCACUCUGCUCACCAUCUCUGUAGUUAUCUGGGAGAUUAUUUCUGCUUUGAAUUUUUCUAGAUCCUCAUUCCUCUGUUUUGUUACUUCCUGUGCUAUCAGUUCAGGAUGUCCAGGUGGUUGAUUGUCAGAUUUUUCCACCUCAUUUUCCCCAGAAAUUGCCUUUUGUGGGGUGGAAGUCUGAGUUUGUGACUUGCUUAAAUGUCUUCUUAUUUUUGUUUUUGGUACUGUGAGUUAUAAGUCAAUGAGUCUCAGUAAGCCAGUCACAGACCCAUAAGAUUCAGGCAGAUUUCUGGCUACAAGUCCCAAAUUGAGCUCCUUGUCCUCCUGCAGGGUUGAGCUCUGCAAGAUUCUAUUACAGGCUCCAGCUGUCCAUCCCCUGAAAAUAGUCCAGGUUCAAAUGGGAGGUGAUGAUCCCUCCAACUUACCAAGUACAGUGGUCUGGUGUGCCUAUAUUGCAGAGAUUCUCUUCACUUUUCCAGUGGGCUUCAGUUUUCAUCAGGGAACCUGAAAGAGGCCCUCUCUCUGUUGUUCACUUCUGCAACUCAGGACAAUGGCCUUUCUGUCCCCCUGUGCCUCUGUAGUGUGGAACCAGCAAUGAACAAGAGCCAAAGUCCCUGCCCUUGCAGAGCUCACAGCUUAAUGAAGAGGCCAAUAAACAAACACCAAAUAUGUCAGGCUGUGAGAUGAUCUAAAUAAAACAAAAAUGAAGAAGGACAGCGCAUGUCAGGAUGCCUCGGGGGUGUGAGUGUUUUAGGAAGGGUGGUCCAAGAAGACAGCUACACUUAGCAGAGGUUUUAGCAGAGACCUGAAAGAUGGAGGGGUCAUGAGAUCUUCUCACCAAGGGUGACUCAAUGCUGAUGAAAAAGCAACCAGAGAGCUCUGACCCAGGAACAAACAAGACAACAAGAAGCACAAAGCUAAUGCUGG